UGGUGCUUCAGGUUAAGAACAGUUUCAGGUUAAGAACAGACCUCCGGAAUGAAUUAAGUAGCUAACCAGAGGUACCACUGUAUUUCCAAUAUAUUAGUAUCAUUUUUUAACCUACUAUGUUUUGUAUCAAUGAGUUCCAAAUUUCAUUAUACUUCUUAAUAACUUAAUUCGUUCUGGAGGUCCGUUCUUAACCUGAAACUGUUCUUAACAUGAAGCACCA